CCUACGGGUGGCAGCAGUCGAGAAUCAUGCACAAUGGGGGAAACCCUGAUGGAGCGACGCCGCGUGGGGGAAUGAAGGUCUCCGGAUUGUAAACCCCUGUCAUGUGGGAGCAAAUUAAAAAGAUAGUACCACAAGAGGAAGAGACGGCUAACGCGGUGCCAGCAGCCGCGGUAAUACAGAGGUCUCAAGCGUUGGUCGGAAUCACUGGGCGUAAAGGGUGCGUAGGCUGUUUCGUAAGUCGGGUGUGAAAGGCGCGGGCUCAACCCGCGGACGGCACAUGAUACUGCGAGACUAGAGUAAUGGAGGGGGAACCGGAAUUCUCGGUGUAGCAGUGAAAUGCGUAGAUAUCGAGAGGAACACUCGUGGCGAAGGCGGGUUCCUGGACAUUAACUGACGCUGAGGCACGAAGGCCAGGGGAGCGAAAGGGAUUAGAUACCCCAGUAGUC
rnacentral:rRNA from 1 species